rnacentral:rRNA from 1 species
GACGAACGCUGGCGGCGUGCUUAACACAUGCAAGUCGAACGAAGUGGCGGACGGGUGAGUAACGCGUAAUCAACCUGCCCUUCAGAGGGGGUCACCAGUUGGAAACGACUCCUAUUACCGCAUACGGAUGGAGGGGUUUGCGUCUGAUUAGCUAGUCGGGGGGGUAACGGCCCACCAAGGAGAUGAUCAGUAGCCGGUCUGAGCGGAUGAACGGCCACAUUGGGACUGAGAAACGGCCCAGACGCCUACGGGAGGGAGCAGGUGGGAAUCGUCCGCAAUGGAAGAAAGUCUGACGGAGCAACGCCGCGUGAGUGAUGACGGCCUUCGGGUUGUAAAGCUCUGUUAAUCGGGACGCGGUACCGGAAUAGAAAGCCACGGCUAACUACGUGCCAGCAGCCGCGGUAAUUC